CACGGAGGGAGGGGGGCGCAGUUCCCUCAGCCUAGAUUGUGAGAGGGCGCAGGCCAGGCCGAGGGACUCCACCGGUGCACA
rfam:Myotis davidii contig29948, whole genome shotgun sequence.